CCAAUAGCGUAUAUUAAAGUUGUUGCAGUUAAAAAGCUCGUAGUUGAACUUCGGGGUUUGCUCAUUGGUCAGGCUUAAUUGUCUGUACUGGUGAGAAAAAUCUCUACCUUCUGAGGAACUUUCAUGCCAUUUAUUUGGUGUGAUGGGAAAUCAGGACUGUUACUUUGAAAAAAUUAGAGUGUUUAAAGCAGACUAACGUCUGAAUACAUUAGCAUGGAAUAAUGAAAUAGGACGGACUGAUUCUAUUUCGUUGAUUUCUAGAAUCACCGUAAUGAUUAAUAGGGAUAGUUGGGGGCAUUAGUAUUCAAUUGUCAGAGGUGAAAUUCUUGGAUUUAUUGAAGACUAACUACUGCGAAAGCAUUUGCCAAGGAUGUUUUCAUUAAUCAAGAACGAAAGUUAGGGGAUCGAAGACGAUCAGAUACCGUCGUAAUCUUAACCAUAAACUAUGCCGACUAGGGAUCGGACGAAGUUAAUUUUAUAAUGACGCGUUCGGCACCUUACA
rnacentral:rRNA from 1 species